rnacentral:tRNA from 1 species
AUUUAAGUAGUUUAAAAAAAACAUUGAUUUGUGGCGUCAAAAUUAUAAAGUUUUUAUCUUAGAUA